rnacentral:rRNA from 1 species
UCGCAGAUCAGAAUGCUGCGGUGAAUGCGUUCCCGGGUCUUGUACACACCGCCCGUCACACCACGGGAGUUGGAGACGCCCGAAGCCGAUUAUCUAACCUUUUGGAAGAAGUCGUCGAAGGUGGAAUCAAUAACUGGGGUGAAGUCGUCACAAGGUAGCCGUAUCGGAAGGUUCGGCUGGAUCACCUCCUUUCUAAGUAGA